rnacentral:rRNA from 1 species
CACGUAGGGGGCGAGCGUUGUCCGGAUUUAUUGGGCGUAAAGAGCGUGUAGGCGGUUCGGUAGGUCCGUUGUGAAAACUCGAGGCUCAACCUCGAGACGCCGAUGGAAACCAUCGAACUAGAGUCCGGAAGAGGAGAGUGGAAUUCCUGGUGUAGCGGUGAAAUGCGCAGAUAUCAGGAAGAACACCCGUGGCUAAGGCGGCUCUCUAGUACGGUACUGACGCUGAGACGCGAAAGCGUGGGGAGCGAACAGG